rnacentral:rRNA from 1 species
UCCUACGGGACGCAGCAGUGGGGAAUAUUGGGCAAUGGGCGCAAGCCUGACCCAGCAACGCCGCGUGAAGGAAGAAGGCUUUCGGGUUGUAAACUUCUUUUGACAGGGAAGAGUAGAAGACGGUACCUGUCGAAUAAGCCACGGCUAACUACGUGCCAGCAGCCGCGGUAAUACGUAGGUGGCAAGCGUUGUCCGGAUUUACUGGGUGUAAAGGGAGCGUAGACGGCAGCACAAGUCUGGAGUGAAAUCCCGGGGCUUAACCCCGGAACUGCUUUGGAAACUGUGCGGCUGGAGUGCAGGAGGGG